rnacentral:lncRNA from 1 species
CAUCAGCAUGAAAAGAAUCCUUUGCCCAGGCGGGAGAUUAGGGUGGUCAGCAGGAAUCCCUGCACCCGAAAUUCAGAUCAGAAUGGGAAUGGUGGGGAACCGAGCGGGAGGGGCUGGUUUUGCUCACCUUCAGGAAAAGCACUGCUGAAAGCUGAUUUGUAGUAUAUUGAUCUGAAUGGUAUUUACACCUGAGUGCAACUGCCUUGAA